AAAUUGAAGAGUUUGAUCAUGGCUCAGAUUGAACGCUGGCGGCAGGCCUAACACAUGCAAGUCGAACGGUAACAGGAAGCAGCUUGCUGCUUUGCUGACGAGUGGCGGACGGGUGAGUAAUGUCUGGGAAGCUGCCUGAUGGAGGGGGAUAACUACUGGAAACGGUGGCUAAUACCGCAUAACGUCGCAAGACCAAAGAGGGGGACCUUCGGGCCUCUUGCCAUCAGAUGUGCCCAGAUGGGAUUAGCUUGUUGGUGAGGUAACGGCUCACCAAGGCGACGAUCCCUAGCUGGUCUGAGAGGAUGACCAGCCACACUGGAACUGAGACACGGUCCAGACUCCUACGGGAGGCAGCAGUGGGGAAUAUUGCACAAUGGGCGCAAGCCUGAUGCAGCCAUGCCGCGUGUAUGAAGAAGGCCUUCGGGUUGUAAAGUACUUUCAGCGGGGAGGAAGGUGUUGUGGUUAAUAACCACA
rnacentral:rRNA from 1 species